UAUCUUGUAGGUAUUUUCUGGCAGCUGCCAGGUCUGAUUGAAAUCCUUUCUUUCUUUAAGCACUUCUUUAUGUUUCUCUCUUUGCUGUUAUGCCUUUGACUUCCACUUGUCCUUCACCCUCCCUAGUCUGAGAAACAUUCCAUGUAUCAGAGGGUUGUGGACUCCCAGGAGAUCCCUGAACUUUAUUUCACCUUUUACUUUUCAGUUCACGUAAAACUGUGAAAUGGUUAAGCCUGACGCUUCCAAGGGAUGUUACAGGUGCUGAAUUGGCAAAACUGAAAAGGUCUUUGAAUCACCCUGUAAAUCUCAUUAAAUGCUCAGCUUCAGAACUACUUUCUGUUUUCUGCUCCAUCAUUUCCAGUAAGUCAAGGGGUUCAAGUCUGGAAGAUGUGUCAUCAGAGGAGACAAGAAAAAUCACUGGUAGCUGUGUUGAAGAGAUGCCAACUUUUAACAAGCAGCGUCUGGUGCUUUCCGGGCCACUCCACGCAUGUGCACUGUGCAGAGAACGAUGAGCUUGUACUCUGCUUGCUUCUGGGAAUCCAGGCUUAGUAACAUUCCUUCUCUCCCCCCUCUGCUUGAGGUGGGUCACCAGGACAUGAGCUUCAUUCACAAAAUUACAUCCAAGCUUCAUCCAGUUCCUCUCUGGCACUGAGUGCAGUUUUCAUCCACGUGGAGAACGGGGGCUCCUCUCUUGCACGGGCUGCAUCCCACGGACACAGUGGCACACAGGGACACAACCAUGGCAAGUCCCACUGAUUCCACACAAGCCUGCUAUUCUGAGACAACAGAGCAGGUGAAUCACUGUUCUCAGGGCUGUGGCCCUCCUUUGUGUGCUGUAUUCUCCAGCCAGCAGGCAGUGCUGACAGUGCCGUGCGUGACACAAUGGGAUAUUAAUGUGUGUGAAGAGCUCAGUGUUGAACCACACACAGAACAGCCUAUAUAUAGCCAGAGGUAGCAGCUUUCUGAACCAGGGUGGCUAUUUUUGUGACCAGUAGCAUGGGGGAAUGAAAAACUCUGCACAGAGAAUGCACUACUCAGGUUGUUGAAGGAUUUGUGUUUCCCUCUGGCCCUGCUCUUCACUGGGGUUUAUUGGAUGGAUACAGCUGCAUACAGCUGUGGUGGUCACGGUCUGAGGCAUCCUCCUCAUCCUGCCCCAGAGGAGAUAUACGGUAUCAGGGGGUGCUAAUGCAGGGGCUAAAGGCCCCUUUGGUCACCCUCCUUCCCUGGCUCAGCAGCCCAUGGCAGGGUUUAGGCUGGUGACUGCUGGGUGGCUGCAGGGAUGAUCAUCAUGCCCAGAACACGAAAGGAGAGCCAGUCCCAGGGCUUUCUGCCAUUGUUUCAGGUGAAAGCACCUUGUGAAAUGUAACUUGUAACACUCCCUUCUUUAUAUCUCCACCAUCAGUUCAUCUGACCCCUAAAAUCAGGCUGGCCAUUAGAGACUAGUCUUGAUGGCAGUUCUGCUACCUUGGUCUGCAGACCUGAGUACCUGGAUAUUUGACAGCUCAUUUCCCCUAAGCUCACAACCACUUCAACCUUUGCUGCCCUUUUUUCAUGGCACUGGCUCAUUUUGUGGUCUGAGGAUCACCUGUUAUGUUCAAUCCAGGCAAAGUUUUUAAUUAAUAUCAUGGAGAGAUGGGAAUGGAAACAUAAAGUAUCAUGUCUAUAAACUGCCAUACAACCGCCAUGCAUGAGAAUGGUAAAAUAAUAGAAAAAAUACAGAACAGAGUCCUGCUGUUUUCUUUUCUGUUUGUUACCUUUACCUAGUGAACUGUAGAGAUGAACUGUUACUAUUCCUCAAAACAAACAUUUACUCAGUUUUGCAAUGUGUCUUUCACAUGUGAGUUAAGGCUCUUGUCCACUCUUUCUCAUAGCUCCACAGUACAAAUUAUACAAAUACAGACAAUAGAGAUCCUUAAAGGUGAGAUUGCACUCAGAAUAUCUUCCUGCUGUCCUGUCACACUGAACUCUCCUUUCCAAACUGGGAUGUGCACAGGCAUAGUCAUAACAGGUAGUCCAAAACAGAAAGAAAGUGCCUCAGGAUGGCUGUAGGGCAAACACCUGUGCUGUGGUUCCUGUCCAGCCUGAUGCCAUCAGUGUAACAAAAACUGUGGUUUCAGCUGAGCUCCUUCUAUACAUUAGUUCAGAGUGCAAAAACCAUCCAGCAGAACCAGGACCUGUGGAGGAGAUGACCAGGGCUGAACAAGAAUGGUGGUUAUCUCCUUAAAAAAAAAAAGAAAAGAUUGCCUAUAAGGCAAACACACACGAUACAGCUGCCUGCAGCCUGCUAGGCCAGGAAAACAAAUUAGGAACAUUGGACUUCUAGUGCCUUGGCUUUCAGAAAUGUAUCUCCAUAAUCUCAUUUUCUGAAUGAUUUCUGAAUUUAUGUACUUCGUAAUGUGCAACUACUACUACUAAAUACAUCAUACCAAACCAACACUUAUGCUUUCUUUGCUCUAUUCAUUAAUUUUGCUCUUUUAACAGAUCAGCUCCCAGCCUCCAGAAAUUGCAUCUUAUGGUAACAUUGGGUAUUAGUAAUGUACAAAAUCUGGAGACUUUUCUAAUAUGCCCCUGCAUUCCAGUGUGCUGCUCUUUUAUUCAGCUAAACAUAUUAUGGCCUUGUGCUUCUCUCUUUCACUCAUGACAGAAAGGAGACAUAAUUUUGUUUUGUUAAUACCUUGUAAAAUAUUAUUUUUCCUACUGGACAACAAGAGCCCUGAGCUUCCACUGAACUCUGUAGUAAUGGGGGAUGCUUAUAAAACUAAGUCUGAAUUCUCAGCUAAGUGAAGCAUUUGGGAUUUAUUUCAGUCCCACUGAAAUCAGUGGGAGAUAAAAAGAACUUUAAACAAACAUUUGGGUGCUUUGCCAAAUGCAGUUAAAAUGCUGAACAUAGGUCUCAACAAGAAACUGUUUUCUAUUUCUUACCGUGAUAACGUAUUUUGACACACUGUUAUGGUACCAAGUCAGCCAUAUCAUCUUUAACACAUUACAACCAAGAGAGAAGCCAGCCUGCUGCACUAAAAUUCACAAAUAAGGAAAUACUCAUCUUUGAGUGGUAUUUCUGAAAAUCAGCGACACCCAUUUUUACAUGAAAAGUACAAUGCCUCUGUGCCCCAAGAAGUCUUUCACUUGUGUGUCUGCAGGGAAGCUCAGGCCAGGAGUUGGGCAGCCAGGUGCACAGACUCCAGACAGAUGUUCUGCCCAUUCCAUGUGAGGCAGAAUUCCAUGUGAGAGGCCCUUUAGGUGCCCUUGUGUGUGAGCAUGCCUGAGGAGUAGAGGAGCUCAUUGUGGCACCACAAGAUCUCCUGCAGACUGCUGUGGCUUUGUCCAGAAGGUUUGUAAAGCCACGGCUAUCUUCCCCCAGAUAGAUCCUUUUGGUGUUUGCUUUUUACUAUUUUUAGUCUACGGUUUCACUUUUACAAAUCUUGGAUUUUGUUCUGCAUUGCAUCCUUACAGCUACAGGACUGAAUAUUUUCUUGCUGUUCCUGCAGUUUCUUUUGUCUUUGCAAAUUUUGGAAUUUAUUUGAAUUGUUCCUUAGAGUGUUUGUGGUAAUAAAUCUUUGUCUAGUUGAUAGUUACUCCCCUCAAAUUCAGAUACCAAAGCAGCAGCUGUUCUAGAAAUCUCUGAAUGUAGUGUUGUGAUUGUCACGUAUUUGUGGAAUUCAUAGAACCACAGAAUGGUUUGUGUUGGAGAGAGUCUUAAAGAUCAUCUGGUUCCACCUCCUCUGCCAUGGGC